AGCCACGUGUGUGGCAAAUAUACCACGCAUGAAUGGGGCGUCUGGGGGUGUACUCCCCCAGAAAAUUUUUGAAAUUUGACUCCCGGAAAUGUCAUUUCCUGCAUUCUGAGCAUCCAAAUUUGCUCCAAAAUUUAUCCUAACUAUACUUGUAUUUGAAAUAAAUAAAGGAAGAAACGCACAAAAAGUAAAAAAAAAUUAACCAUCAUUUAUCAUUAUUUAUUAGAGGAGGAUAGCAAUGGUCAGGUGUGUGGGAGUGUACUCCCCCAGAAAAUUGUUGAAAUUUGAACCAAGGAAAUGCCAUUUCCUGCAUUCUGAGCAUCCAAAUUUGCUCUAAAAUUUAUGCUAACUAUAGUUGUAUUUGAAAUAAAAGAUGGAAAAAUGCACAAAAAGUAAAAAAGAAUAUUAACUGUAAUUUAUCAUUACUUAUUAGAGGGAUAAUCCCAAGAAAAUGUUUGAAAUUUGAAACCGUGAAAUGCUAUUUCCUGCAUUCUGAGCAUCCAAAAAAUAAAAAAAAUAUUAACAAUAAUUUAUCAUGGCUUAGUGGUAAAAAAAGUAACAAUUUAAAUCGAUUUUGUGAAACAAGAACAAAGGAUAAAGCCUAAAACUUACUUUCCGUUUAUCUAUUUGUUAAUCUUCGCUGGAUUGUUUGUAUAAUAUUAGGAAAAAGGGAC
rnacentral:lncRNA from 1 species